AGCAUGUCUGUCUGAGUGUCGGUU
rnacentral:rRNA from 1 species